rnacentral:sRNA from 1 species
AGGAGACAGAGUGAGGGAGUGCAGGGGGACAGAGCCGCUGGGCAGGUCAGGAGGGGCCAAGGCUAAGCUGCUGCCCUCCCCUCCUGCCUCCCCACCCCCUCUGUCUCCAUCCUCCCCACCCUCCCACCCCUUCUCCCUCUCCCUCCCUCCCUCCCUCCU